GACGAACCGUGCGAACGUUAUUCGGAAUCACUGGGCUUAAAGCGCGUGUAGGCGGGCCGGCACGUCGGUCGCUGAAAUCCCCCGGCUCAACCGGGGAACCGGCGCCGAUACGACCGGCCUGGAGGGGCGUAGGGGGAUCGGGAACUUCCGGUGGAGCGGUGAAAUGCGUUGAGAUCGGAAGGAACGCCCGUGGCGAAAGCGCGGUCCUGGACGCCUACUGACGCUGAGACGCGAAAGCCAGGGGAGCGAACGGG
rnacentral:rRNA from 1 species